GUGCCAGCAGCCGCGGUAAUACGAAGGGUGCAAGCGUUACUCGGAAUCACUGGGCGUAAAGCGUGCGUAGGCGGUUGGUUAAGUCUGCUGUGAAAGCCCUGGGCUCAACCUGGGAACUGCAGUGGAUACUGGCCAGCUAGAGUGUGAUAGAGGAUGGUGGAAUUCCCGGUGUAGCGGUGAAAUGCGUAGAGAUCGGGAGGAACACCAGUGGCGAAGGCGGCCAUCUGGAUCAACACUGACGCUGAGGCACGAAAGCGUGGGGAGCAAACAGGAUUAGAUACCCGCGUAGUCC
rnacentral:rRNA from 1 species